UUCCUGGCCGCUUUGUUUACCUACUCAAGCCUCAGCAACGGUGGACGCCCCUCCCACAGCCAGGCUUCUGCCUCGCAGAUUGAUCUCAGACUGCUACGCUAGCAGUGAGCAAGGCUCCAUGGGCAUGGGACCUGCCAAGCCAGGCACAGGAGAGAAUCACCUUGUCUGCUGGUUGCUAAGACCUUGGGAAAAGAGCAGUAUUUGGGCAGGAGUGACCCGUUUUUCCAGAAGUCUGAGAUCUGAAUGCAUAUAAAUCAGCCCUCCUUGAAUUUAUUGAGCCUACUAUGUGCUGCUUUACGGAAGACAGAUGGUAAGAAGCCAGCCUUACUACUUCCAGGACCUCACAGCCCAGGAAGAAAGAAUAUGCCAAAAAGAAGCCCCUGAAGUGUGGCCCCUCCCAGAGGAAGCCAGAGGGAGUCAGCGCCUGGGACCAAGAUCAAGGACCACCUGGUAUUCCUCUCCCUAUGACUUGGAAAUUCCACCAGCUAAACACUGCCAACAACCAGUGGCUUCCCAUCUGGCCUACAGUAAAAACCUAAGAUCCUUAGGAUGCCUACAGGGCUCUUGGUGAUCUCCUUCUCCACAGCCCCUCCUCCAUCCCCCACCCCACUUCUUGUUAUCUCUUUGACAUCAUCUCCUACAACUCUUCCUAAGUCUAGAUUUGAGCUUCUCAAACUUGGCACUCUGGACGUUUUGGGAAGGAUCAUUCUUUGGAGAAUGUGGAGACCGUCCCGUGCAUUGUAGGAUGUUGAACAGCAUCCUUGACUCUCAUAGUGCACACUCCCAUCCCAGCUGUGACAACCCAAAAUGUUUCCAGACAUGGCCAGAUGUCCCCUGCGGGGAGAGGAGCAAAAUGGCCCUGUGAGGACCACUGGUCUAGACCACUCCCGCCAGCCCUGCUGCCCUCCUUGCUGUUCACACUACUACUUCCAGGUCCUUGCACUUGCUCUUCCCUCUACAGGGGUCUCCCCUGCACUUCUUUCUGGUCUUUACUCAAAUGUCACCUGCUCGGUGAGAUCUUACCCAACCAUCCUAUUUAAAAUUGCAACCCAUCCUAAUCAUCCCUAAAACAUUUCCCUCCUUAAUUUUUCUCCAUAGCAUUUAUCACUGUUAGGCAUUCCACAAGUCUUACUCAUUUUUAGUGUCUAUUUACUUCCAUCCAGUAGGAUGUAGCUCUCUGAGGGUGAGAUUUUGUUUGUUUGAUGUUUUGUUUUGGUCUUCUCUGUCCACUGCUGUAUCUCUGGACUUAGAACAAUGACUGGCACACAAAAGGCACUCAAUAAAUAUUCAAUGGAUGGGUGGAUGGCUGGGACAGCUCAAAUUCCUUUCUACCUCAGAAGCUGGUGGGUCAAGAGAGAAGAUAAGCCUGUGUCACUUCUCCAGUGAAUCCAUGGUGUCAUGGAUUCGCUGAAGCCAUGUGUCGGGGUGGACUCUAUACUGGGCCUUUAAGCACUUUACCUCCUCCCACACCAGAGUUUUUUUUUUCUCUCUCUCUCCUUUUUCCUGUCUUUGUUUCUUUUCUUUUUCUUCUCUCCUCUCCUCUUCUCUUUUUCCUUUUGCUUCUCAUAGUCUUGCUCUGUCACCCAGGCUGGAAUACAGUGGCAUAAUCAUGGCUCACUGAAGCCUCAAACUCCUGGGCUCAAAUGAUCCUCCAGCCUCAGCCUCCCAAGUAGCUGGGACUACAGGUGUACACCACCACGUUCAGCUAAUUUUUUUUCCCAUCUUUUUAGAGACAGGGUCUCCUAUGUUGCCCAGGCCGGUCUUGAACUCCUGGCCUCAAGUGGUCAUCCCACCUCAGCCUCUCAAGUAGCUGGAAUUACAGGUGAGAGCCACUGUACUUGGCAAGAGUUUUAUUUAAUUGCCCUUCUUGAGAGAAUAGUGGAAAAUUAUGUGGGACAGGGGCUUUCAGAGCUGGCUAUGAAAAGCAGUCAUUUCUUCUUUUCUUUUUUUCCCCUCUCACAUUCUUUUUAUAGCUGUAUGUAUCAUGCAUGUGCAACCUCAUGUUACCCCUGCCCUUUGGUAAGAAGCCUAUGUUUACAUAUAUAUAUAUUUUACUUAUAUAAUAAUAAUCGUUUAUCUUUUCUGAGUGCUUCCUGAAUGCCAAGUAUUGUGCUAAGUAUAGGGACCCCUUCAUUUAACCCUCCAAACAACACUAUAAGUCUAGUUUUAUUGUUAUUGUCAACUGCUUCUGCAGAUAAACUGCCAUAGCUUCAGUAUCUGAUGCAGAAACACAUAGACACAUAUCUGAAUUUGAAGCCAAACAAGGCUGAGCAUGGUGGCUCAUGCCUGUAAUCCCAACACUUUAGGAGGCCGAGGCAGGAGGAUUGCUUGAGCUCAGGAGUUUGAGACCAGCCUGGCCAUGCAGUGAAAUCU
rnacentral:lncRNA from 1 species